UACGAAACUGGCAAGCGUUAUCCGGAAUUACUGGGCUUAAAGCGCCCGCAGGCGGACUUUUAAGUCUGUCGUCAAAGCCCGCAGCUUAACUCCAUUUCUGCGAUGUAAACUGAAAUACUAGAAUGUGGUAAGGGCAGAGGGAAUUCCCGGUGGAACGGUGAAAUGGGUAUAUAUCGGGAAGAACACCAGUGGCGAAGGCGCUCUGCUGGGACAUAUCUGACGCUCAUGAACGAAAGCCAGGGGAGCGAAAGGGAUUAAAUACCCCUGUAAUCCUGGCCGGAAACGAUGAACACUAGGUGUCGGGAGAAUCGAACCCCUCGGUGGCCUAACCAACGCGUUAAGUGGUCCGCCUGGGGAGUACGCACGCAAGUGUGAAACUCAAAGGAAUUGACGGGGGCCCGCACAAGCGGUGGAAUAUGGGGUUUAAUUCCAUGCAUCGCGAAGAACCUUACCAGAGUUUGACAUCCUGCGAAUCUCUUGGAAACAAGAGAGUGCCUUCGGGAUCGCAGCGACAGGUGCAGCAUGGCCGUCGUCAGCUCGUGUCGUGAGAUGGUGGGAUAAGUCCCGCAGACGAGACGCACACUCCACGUCGUUAGUCACCAGUAAUUAGUUGGGCACUCUAGCGAGACCCCCGGUGAUAAACCGGAGGAAGGUGUGGAGGACGUCAAGUCAUCAUGCCCCUUACAUUAUGGGCUACCCACGUACUCCAAUGCUACGGACAAAGGGCAGCAAGCUCGCGAGAGGUAGCAAAUCCCAUAAACCUUGGCUCAGUUCAGAUCGUAGGCUGCAACUGACGUCCGUGAAGGAGGAAUCGUUAGUAAUCGCAGUUCACCAUACUGCGGUGAAUACGUUCCCGGGCCU
rnacentral:rRNA from 1 species